rnacentral:lncRNA from 1 species
GUCCAUUGAACAUAGAAAAUGAUAGUGCAAAGUUCAGGUUAAAGUUUUUGGUCAAGGUAGUUUUUGAUAAAGUUAAAGUUACAUCAACUUGAAACUUAGUACACAUGUUACCUAAGAUAUGAUCUUUGUAAUUAUAAUUCCAAAUUAUAAGUUUGACCCCAAUUUCACGGUCCACUGAACAUAGAAAAUGAUAGUGCGAGUGGGGCAUCUGUGUACUAUGGAC